rnacentral:rRNA from 1 species
CGAACGCUGGCGGCGCGCCUAACACAUGCAAGUCGAACGAGCGAGAGAGAGCUUGCUUUCUCAAGCGAGUGGCGAACGGGUGAGUAACGCGUGAGGAACCUGCCUCAAAGAGGGGGACAACAGUUGGAAACGACUGCUAAUACCGCAUAAGCCCACGACCCGGCAUCGGGUAGAGGGAGAAGGAGCAAUCCGCUUUGAGAUGGCCUCGCGUCCGAUUAGCUGGUUGGUGAGGUAACGGCCCACCAAGGCGACGAUCGGUAGCCGGACUGAGAGGUUGAACGGCCACAUUGGGACUGAGACACGGCCCAGACUCCUACGGGAGGCAGCAGUGGGGAAUAUUGCACAAUGGGGGAAACCCUGAUGCAGCGACGCCGCGUGGAGGAAGAAGGUCUUCGGAUUGUAAACUCCUGUUGUUGAGGAAGAUAAUGACGGUACUCAACAAGGAAGUGACGGCUAACUACGUGCCAGCAGCCGCGGUAAAACGUAGGUCACAAGCGUUGUCCGGAAUUACUGGGUGUAAAGGGAGCGCAGGCGGGAAGGCAAGUUGGAAGUGAAAUCCAUGGGCUCAACCCAUGAACUGCUUUCAAAACUGUUUUUCUUGAGUAGUGCAGAGGUAGGCGGAAUUCCCGGUGUAGCGGUGGAAUGCGUAGAUAUCGGGAGGAACACCAGUGGCGAAGGCGGCCUACUGGACACCAACUGACGCUGAGGCUCGAAAGUGUGGGUAGCAAACAGGAUUAGAUA